GAGUCCCUCGAGACUCACCUAUAUCGCGAUUCGCUAUCUUGCUUACGACAUAGAGAUGUCACCGGUGACCUGAGGGCAUGGUAUACUUGGUCGAGUCCCUCGAGGGUAUAUCAUCAAAUCAGACUCAUCUUGUAACGAAGGUGUUGACUUAACCGAGCAUCAUGAUUGGUCGAGUCCCUCGAGGCCAUGAUGAUUCGGAGGCCGAACAGGACGGGAAUCACAAGGAGUUGUGAUCGGCAAGAGUUGCCUACCUUUUAGGCUUAAUGUGAUUGGUCGAGUCCCUCGAGGUUACACUAAGACGCUGAUUGGAUCCUGAUCCCUACUAGAAGUCUGCCGGAGACUUCCGUUUCACGUGCUGAGGGUGUCGCGUGACUCGUUAGUAAAAUAGUGGGAGCAUAUUAAGAUAGAAGUCCAUAUCUUGAUAGUUUAUUUCUUGCAAAAUCUGCAUGUUAUUCAUUUCUGCUGCAUCUUUAUUUUCAGAAAAUGUCGCUUUCAAAUCCGUUACGUGACAUACUUGAUGUCAACCGCCUCACUGGUCCAAAUUAUACAGAUUGGCUCCGUAACUUGAGAAUUAUUCUCACAGCGGAGAAAAUCAUGUACGUCCUUGAUACAGUGAUGCCUACGCCCGAAGAAGGGGCAAGCGAGGAUGAGAUCGCUCGCUACGUGAAGUACAUUGAUGACUCCACUCUUGCUCAGUGCUAUAUGUUGGGCUCUAUGACUCUUGAGUUACAGAGACAACAUGAAAAGAUGGAUGCCAGAUCCAUUCUCCUACUUGUCCGUAAAUUGUUUGAGGAACAGGGAAGGACUCAGCGAUAUGAGAUAUCUAAGAGCCUCUUCCGCGCUAGGAUGACUGAGGGGACACCGGUUCAGAACCAUGUCCUAAAGAUGAUUGAGUGGAUAGAGAAACUCACUAGUCUAGGAAUGGUCCUAGAGGAUAACUUGUGUGUGGACAUUGUGCUUCAGUCCCUACCAGAUUCUUUUUCACAAUUCAUAAUGAAUUUUAAUAUGAACAAGCUUGAGAUGACUCUCUCAGAGCUCCUCAAUAUGUUGAGGGAGGCAGAGAGUACUAUUAAGAAUGAGAAGCCAGUUCUCUACACUGGUGAGACCAAAAAGAAAAGGAAAGCAGAAAGGUCCCUUAAGAAGGGAAAGGGCAAGGGCAAACCAGGUAAAGCAAAGGUUACUAAGAAAGACCCAGUAAAGGACAAAGGCCAAUGCUUCCACUGUGGUAAAGAUGGGCAAUGGAAGAGGAACUGCAAAGAGUACCUUGCAGAAAGGGCGAAAUAGAAGCUUGGAGAAGCUUCAGGUACAUUCAUGAUCAAUCUCCAAUUGGCAGAUUUUUGUGAUAGUGCAUUGGUAUUGGAUACCAGUAUUACUUAUUACAUCUACAAUUUAUUGUAAAUUCUAGCAAAGCCGAGGGGAGAUUGACGAGAGGAAUAUUGCAUAAAGGUUUGUUUAUGCAAGACACUACUCUACAUAUCAUGAAUGUAAGUGUCUAAGAGGAAACGAGAUGAGGUGAACAGUGCAUACCUAUGACAUUGUAGGCUAGGUCACAUCCAUGAAAGAAGGAUUCAAAAGUUGCUAAAUAAUGGAUAUCUAGAUCCAUUCGACUAUGUGUCAUAUGUAACUUGUGAGCCUUGCAUUCGUGGAAAACUGACCAACUCUCCAUUUAGUGGAACUGGAGAGAGAGCCACUGAGUUGUUGGAACUCAUACAUAGUGAUGUAUGUGGACCCAUGUCAACUCAUGCCAUUGGAGGUUACCCCUACUUCAUUACAUUUAUUGAUGAUUUCUCAAGGUAUGGAUAUGUGUACUUAAUGAAGUACAAGUCCGAGGCCUUUGAGAAAUUCAGAGUAUAGGAAUGAGGUGGAGAACCAAACUGGAAAGAGUAUCAAAACUCUUCGAUCAGAUCGAGGAGGUGAGUACUUAAGUACAGAGUUUACUCAGUUCCUCAAGGACCAUGGGAUAUUAUCCCAAUGGACACCUCCUUAUACACCUCAGCUCAAUGAUGUCUUUGAAAGGAGAAAUUGUACGUUAUUAGAUAUGGUACGAUCCAUGAUGAGUUUCGCUGACCUACCCAUCUCAUUCUGGGGAUAUGCCCUAGAAACCGCAGCUUACCUUCUGAACAGAGUUCCAACUAAGUCGGUAGUGUCUACACCAUAUGAGAUAUGGAAAGGGAAGAAGCCUGAUCUUAAGGUUGUUAAGAUUUGGGGCUGCCCUACCCACGUUAAAAUACAUAACCCCGAUAAGUUAGAAUCAAGGACAGAGCGAUGCAAAUUUGUGGGAUACCCCAAGGAAACUUAUGGGUAUUAUUUCUAUCAUCUCAAGGACCAAAAGGUCUUUGUAGCUAAGAGAGUAGUGUUCCUUGAGAAGGAACACAUUCUUGGCGGAGACAGUGGGAGAAUGAUAGAGUUGAGCGAGGUUGGAGAACCAAGCUUAAGCACCACUCUAUAGCCCGAGUCUGUUCAGGUACCUAAUACACAAGUUUCAACUUUACGCAGGUAUGAUAGAGUAUCCCAUCCUCCUGAAGGAUAUGUGGGACAUAUUAGAAGAGAGGAUGUUGAGGAUAUUGAUCCUCAGACCUACGAGGAGGCUAUUAUGAGUAUAGACUCCGGGUAGUGGCAAGAAGCCAUGAAUUCUGAGAUGGAUUCUAUGUACUCCAAUAAGGUUUGGAACCUAGUUGAUGUGCCCAAAGGUAUUGUACCCAUCGGUUGCAAGUGGAUCUUUAAGAAAAAGAUCAGAGUAGAUGGAAAGGUAGAGACCUAUAAAGCAAGGCUAGUGGCUAAGGGGUAUUGUCAAAGGCAAGGUGUUGACUACGACGAAACCUUCUCACCUGUAGCAAUGCUAAAAUCCAUCAGAAUUCUAUUGGCUAUUGCAGCACACUAUGAUUAUGAGAUCUGGCAGAUGGAUGUGAAAACCAUAUUCCUCAACGGGAACCUCGAGGAGGAGGUGUAUAUGAUGCAACUUGAGGGAUUCGUGUCCAAGAACUGCCCAGAUACUGUGUGUAGGUUGCUUAGAUCCAUUUAUGGACUAAAGCAAGCUUCCCGAAGUUGGAACAUAAGAUUUGAUGAGGCAAUCAGAUCUUAUGACUUCGUUAAGAACGAAGAUGAGCCUUGUGUGUACAGGAAGGUAAGUGGGAGCGCUAUUACUUUUUUUUUGGUGUUAUAUGUGGAUGACAUCCUGAUCAUUGGGAAUGACGUAGGAAUGCUAUCCACGGUAAAGGCUUGGUUAUCUAGACACUUUUCCAUGAAGGACUUAGGGGAAGCAUCCUAUAUCUUGGGGAUUAGAAUCUAUAGAGAUAGAUCCAAGAGGAUGCUUGGCUUGUCCCAGUCCAGGUACAUAGAAACCAUUGUCAAAAUGUUUGGCAUUGAAAAUUCCAAGAAAGGGCGAACAUGGAUAUGAUACCUUAUGCCUCAGCAAUAGGGUCUAUCAUGUAUGCCAUGCUAUGUACUAGGCCUGAUAUAGCGCAUGCUCUGAGUGUCACGAGCAGGUAUCAGGCGGAUCCAGGCUUGGAGCACUGGAAAGUAGUAAAGUGUAUCCUUAUGUACUUGAGAAGGACUAAGAAUCUUUUACUAGUAUAUGGAGGUAAUAGCCUUAAGGUUGAAGGCUACACUGACUCAAGUUUUCAGUCUGAUGUCGAUGAUAGCAAGUCGAAUUCAGGGUAUGUGUACACCUUGAAUGGAGGAGCAGUGUGCUGGAAGAGUUUCAAGCAAGAUACCACUGAUGACUCGACCAUAGAGGUGGAGUACAUUGCUGCAUUAGAUGUAGCAAAGGAGGGAGUCUGGGUGAAGAAGUUCAUCACAGAUUUGAGAGUCAUGCUGGGUAACGAGGAGCCGAUCUCCUUAUAUUGCGAUAACAACGGGGCGAUUACUCAAAUAAGGGAACCCGGGUCUCAUCAGAAGUGUUCUGAGGAGGUUCCAACUUAUCAGAGAGAUCGUAACCCGAGGAGAUGUAGCAGUGGAAAGAGUUCCAUCCGAAGAUAACAUUGCAGAUCCAUUGAUAAAACCGUUGUCUCAUUUUGUCUUUGAGCGUCACAGGGGUCUGAUGGGGAUCAGACACAUAGGUGAUUGGCUUUAGGUCAAGUGGGAGAUUGCUAGUCAUAAGUGCCCAGCAAGCCAAUCACGUGAGUGAUGGCACGUGUGACUUGAUACAUAAUCUUUUUGCUUAUUAUAUUUUGGCGUAUAUCACUUUAUAACUAUUGCAUAAAUGCAUACAUAUAUUGUGAUGUCCUUGGAUUUGUGCAAUGGGAAUCGGAUCGUGAUGAGAUCACGAUAAUGAGAUCGAUUCACCUUUAAACACAUAUCCUAAAUGAUCCCGGUCAUAGGUUACUCGAGAGGGACAUCGUGAUAACCGAAUACACUAGUGUGCUGUAUACCCGUCCAUAUGAUGGAUGCAGCUGGUCUCAUAGCUGCUUGUGUAGGGACACUAGGGAUACAAUACAGGUGCUCAUUGGAGAAUGAGUUCACUGAUUGAUCCGCUUACGGAAUGCUGGAUGGUUGAUGAUGCCUUAUUGUCAGACAGCGAUUCCGUAGUCCUAGUGGUGUAUCUGGUCCUUAGACUUGAGACACCAAGGAUGUCCUGUAUGAGUGCUCCACUCUUUGAUACCAGACUUAUAGGUUUGGCUGUCCCAGAUUUAGUACAGCUGGUCAUUGGGAGUGGUAGUCGACCUUACGAGGGCUAUUGAGUGUCGAUAGAGGAUCAUCCACUCUCUGCGUCAUGAGAGGAAUAUCCCAUGUGUUCUUGCUCAGACAAAUCCCUGGCUAGGGUCAUUCGGGUUGAGAGAGAAAGAGUUCUCUGGGAGAAU
rnacentral:lncRNA from 1 species